AGAACCGAGCAGCGCGCGCCGUCGCCGGCGUCAAUCUAUUGGAGAUUCCCGCUGAGCUAGCCUUCAUCUUCAGCAAACUCGACGACUGGCAACCGACACACAACGAGAGGCACCUGGCGAAGGUACACGGCAAUGUGCACGCGCUAUCGCAGCGCCAUCUCUGGCCGCAGGACGUCAACUCGUACGCCUUCACGAAAUUCUCCAACGUCUACUUCCGUGGGCAGCGCAGUUUCGCAUGCGUUCGAGUACCCGAUACAG